rnacentral:rRNA from 1 species
GAUGAACGCUAGCUACAGGCUUAACACAUGCAAGUCGAGGGGCAGCAUGAACUUAGCUUGCUAAGUUUGAUGGCGACCGGCGCACGGGUGAGUAACACGUAUCCAACCUCCCGCAUACUCGGGAAUAGCCUUUCGAAAGAAAGAUUAAUGCCCGAUGGUUUCAAGGGAUUGCAUGGUAUCUUGAAUAAAGAUUCAUCGGUAUGCGAUGGGGAUGCGUUCCAUUAGGCAGUUGGCGGGGUAACGGCCCACCAAACCGACGAUGGAUAGGGGUUCUGAGAGGAAGGUCCCCCACAUUGGAACUGAGACACGGUCCAAACUCCUACGGGAGGCAGCAGUGAGGAAUAUUGGUCAAUGGGCGAGAGCCUGAACCAGCCAAGUAGCGUGAAGGAUGACUGCCCUACGGGUUGUAAACUUCUUUUAUAAGGGAAUAAAGUUCUCUACGUGUAGAGUUUUGUAUGUACCUUAUGAAUAAGCAUCGGCUAACUCCGUGCCAGCAGCCGCGGUAAUACGGAGGAUGCGAGCGUUAUCCGGAUUUAUUGGGUUUAAAGGGAGCGUAGACGGCGGUUUAAGUCAGCUGUGAAAUGGUGCGGCUCAACCGUAGCACUGCAGUUGAAACUGGACGGCUUGAGUGCAGUUGAGGCAGGCGGAAUUCGUGGUGUAGCGGUGAAAUGCUUAGAUAUCACGAAGAACCCCGAUUGCGAAGGCAGCCUGCUAAGCUGCAACUGACGUUGAUGCUCGAAAGUGUGGGUAUCAAACAGGAUUAGAUACCCUGGUAGUCCACACGGUAAACGAUGGAUACUCGCUGUUGGCGAUAUACUGUCAGCGGCCAAGUGAAAACGUUAAGUAUCCCACCUGGGGAGUACGCCGGCAACGGUGAAACUCAAAGGAAUUGACGGGGGCCCGCACAAGCGGAGGAACAUGUGGUUUAAUUCGAUGAUACGCGAGGAACCUUACCCGGGCUUGAACUGCAGUGGAAUUAUCCGGAAACGGAUAAGCGAGCAAUCGCCGCUGUGGAGGUGCUGCAUGGUUGUCGUCAGCUCGUGCCGUGAGGUGUCGGCUUAAGUGCCAUAACGAGCGCAACCCUUGCUGCCAGUUACUAACAGGUCAUGCUGAGGACUCUGGCAGGACUGCCAUCGUAAGAUGCGAGGAAGGUGGGGAUGACGUCAAAUCAGCACGGCCCUUACGUCCGGGGCUACACACGUGUUACAAUGGGGAGUACAGAGGGCAGCUACCGGGCGACCGGAUGCGAAUCCCGAAAGCUCCUCUCAGUUCGGACUGGAGUCUGCAACCCGACUCCACGAAGCUGGAUUCGCUAGUAAUCGCGCAUCAGCCACGGCGCGGUGAAUACGUUCCCGGGCCUUGUACACACCGCCCGUCAAGCCAUGAAAGCCGGGGGUACCUGAAGUACGUAACCGCGAGGAUCGUCCUAGGGUAAAACCGGUAAUUGGGGCUA